AGAGUUUGAUCAUGGCUCAGGACGAACGCUGGCGGCGUGCCUAAUACAUGCAAGUCGAGCGGAGUUAUUCAGGAGCUUGCUUCUGAAUAACUUAGCGGCGGACGGGUGAGUAACACGUAGGCAACCUGCCCACAAGAUCGGGAUAACAUUCGGAAACGAAUGCUAAGACCGAAUAGACAACGUGCUCGCAUGAGCGUGUU
rnacentral:rRNA from 1 species